rnacentral:rRNA from 1 species
AGACCCGAAACCCGGUGAUCUAGCCAUGGGCAGGUUGAAGGUUGGGUAACACUAACUGGAGGACCGAACCGACUAAUGUUGAAAAAUUAGCGGAUGACUUGUGGCUGGGGGUGAAAGGCCAAUCAAACCGGGAGAUAGCUGGUUCUCCCCGAAAGCUAUUUAGGUAGCGCCUCGUGAAUUCAUCUCCGGGGGUAGAGCACUGUUUCGGCAAGGGGGUCAUCCCGACUUACCAACCCGAUGCAAACUGCGAAUACCGGAGAAUGUUAUCACGGGAGACACACGGCGGGUGCUAACGUCCGUCGUGAAGAGGGAAACAACCCAGACCGCCAGCUAAGGUCCCAAAGUCAUGGUUAAGUGGGAAACGAUGUGGGAAGGCCCAGACAGCCAGGAUGUUGGCUUAGAAGCAGCCAUCAUUUAAAGAAAGCGUAAUAGCUCACUGGUCGAGUCGGCCUGCGCGGAAGAUGUAACGGGGCUAAACCAUGCACCGAAGCUGCGGCAGCGACACUGUGUGUUGUUGGGUAGGGGAGCGUUCUGUAAGCCUGUGAAGGUGUGCUGUGAGGCAUGCUGGAGGUAUCAGAAGUGCGAAUGCUGACAUAAGUAACGAUAAAGCGGGUGAAAAGCCCGCUCGCCGGAAGACCAAGGGUUCCUGUCCAACGUUAAUCGGGGCAGGGUGAGUCGACCCCUAAGGCGAGGCCGAAAGGCGUAGUCGAUGGGAAACAGGUUAAUAUUCCUGUACUUGGUGUUACUGCGAAGGGGGGACGGAGAAGGCUAUGUUGGCCGGGCGACGGUUGUCCCGGUUUAAGCGUGUAGGCUGGUUUUCCAGGCAAAUCCGGAAAAUCAAGGCUGAGGCGUGAUGACGAGGCACUACGGUGCUGAAGCAACAAAUGCCCUGCUUCCAGGAAAAGCCUCUAAGCAUCAGGUAACAUCAAAUCGUACCCCAAACCGACACAGGUGGUCAGGUAGAGAAUACCAAGGCGCUUGAGAGAACUCGGGUGAAGGAACUAGGCAAAAUGGUGCCGUAACUUCGGGAGAAGGCACGCUGAUAUGUAGGUGAAGUCCCUCGCGGAUGGAGCUGAAAUCAGUCGAAGAUACCAGCUGGCUGCAACUGUUUAUUAAAAACACAGCACUGUGCAAACACGAAAGUGGACGUAUACGGUGUGACGCCUGCCCGGUGCCGGAAGGUUAAUUGAUGGGGUCAGCGCAAGCGAAGCUCUUGAUCGAAGCCCCGGUAAACGGCGGCCGUAACUAUAACGGUCCUAAGGUAGCGAAAUUCCUUGUCGGGUAAGUUCCGACCUGCACGAAUGGCGUAAUGAUGGCCAGGCUGUCUCCACCCGAGACUCAGUGAAAUUGAACUCGCUGUGAAGAUGCAGUGUACCCGCGGCAAGACGGAAAGACCCCGUGAACCUUUACUAUAGCUUGACACUGAACAUUGAGCCUUGAUGUGUAGGAUAGGUGGGAGGCUUUGAAGUGUGGACGCCAGUCUGCAUGGAGCCGACCUUGAAAUACCACCCUUUAAUGUUUGAUGUUCUAACGUGGACCCGUGAUCCGGGUUGCGGACAGUGUCUGGUGGGUAGUUUGACUGGGGCGGUCUCCUCCUAAAGAGUAACGGAGGAGCACGAAGGUUGGCUAAUCCUGGUCGGACAUCAGGAGGUUAGUGCAAUGGCAUAAGCCAGCUUGACUGCGAGCGUGACGGCGCGAGCAGGUGCGAAAGCAGGUCAUAGUGAUCCGGUGGUUCUGAAUGGAAGGGCCAUCGCUCAACGGAUAAAAGGUACUCCGGGGAUAACAGGCUGAUACCGCCCAAGAGUUCAUAUCGACGGCGGUGUUUGGCACCUCGAUGUCGGCUCAUCACAUCCUGGGGCUGAAGUAGGUCCCAAGGGUAUGGCUGUUCGCCAUUUAAAGUGGUACGCGAGCUGGGUUUAGAACGUCGUGAGACAGUUCGGUCCCUAUCUGCCGUGGGCGCUGGAGAACUGAGGGGGGCUGCUCCUAGUACGAGAGGACCGGAGUGGACGCAUCACUGGUGUUCGGGUUGUCAUGCCAAUGGCACUGCCCGGUAGCUAAAUGCGGAAGAGAUAAGUGCUGAAAGCAUCUAAGCACGAA